ensembl:lncRNA
CUGUGAGUAAUUGUGGGGGAUUUAACGGCGACUUUUUGGUGGAAAAUACUGCCGCGUUGCCGUAAGUUGGCUGUCUUUUUUUCUGCUCUGUCAGUUGGUUUUCCUUUUAAUAUCUCAGGUUGCUGCAAAACUCUGCUUUCCACUUAAUCCUCUGUUUGGAGCGUCUCCAUUAACUCUGUAAUUAGAGGAACACAAUUGGGUUCUGUCUUAACCACCCUCCACCCCCCGCUCCCCCAAGAAAAGCCAGCACAAACAGCCCCCACCAAGCAACCAAACCUAACACCCCUUCUCCUCCCACUGUUUCCAUGCUCACUUGAGCUGUAUUUCCUGUAUACAUUUGUUAUGUUAUCAAGAGGCCAUGGCAAUGUAAUGCCAUAUAACAAGACAAAAUUAAAACACUUUACAUUCCUUUUAUUACUCGCUUGUCUUGUGCCAGCUCAGUAAGGGUACUGUAAGUGGGAGAGAGGGAACACACAUUUCUAAAGGCAGGCUUCGUAACUUAGAAAUGAUAGCAGCUGCUAAAAUACAGAGCUGUUCCAUGGAGAAACAGGUACAAUAACAAACUGCGCUGUGCUUCAGUUGUUAAACUGCUGCUGUCAGUCAAUGUGAUUCCAACCAGCCAACAAUAAAAAUGUUUUGACAUGCAAUCUCGUACACACUUCAAUAAUAGUUACCUAACCGGAAUUUUCACCCAUGGAAAUAUUUCUUUUCCCGCUAGCUUAGGAUCAUGAAAAUUUUGGUGUGCUACAAGUCCUGCUGUAAAGGGCACCCUGUCAAUGACAGAGCCAGCAGAAUAGCUCCGUAAAUUGCAUUGUACAGAAGAGCUGUGUAAAAUACAACUGUUAUAUUUUAUAAUAAAAACCAGCUUAUCAUCAGGGACAGAGGGCUUUAGUGUCUAACAGAAAAUACCAUUGUGUAAUGGGAAAUGGAGGCCUCUCCCAGCUAAGCUCCAUUCAGGCUUCAGCUGGAGCAGAAACAGGGCAGUGCUCACGCUCUGGGUGACCACAGGACUAAUGCUGCCCAGCUCGUGCUUAUCCCUCACAGCGCCCAGCCCGAGCAGAGGCUGAUGCAGCGAGCGCGGCCACCACUCAUCCCAGCUCAGGAAGGCAAUGGAAAGCACAGCUUUCCUCACGGCUCCCCACCAUGCUCCUUCCUGCAGUCGUGCAGCGAUGUGGUUUCAUCUCCCAGUGGAAGAGAUCUGUGAAUGAUUUGGAGGUUCAGAGUUCAGGGGUGGUUUGGAAAAACACCCGGUGGGCUGCAGUGCCUGUGGGGGAGCGGUCUUGUUGGAUAUGUUGUCUCUGGGUAUUUCUGGCAUUUCACCUCCUGACUGAAGUCAGGAAAACUCAAAGAAAGAAAAAAAACCUAUGGAAAACUACAUGCAGACACUUCCAAAAUUGGAAACUAGUUUCCUAAUGUUUUGCCAAAAGCACAAGUUAGGUCUUGUUUUAGCCACCCAGUCCUCCUUGGACUAGAAAAUAUUCAGAACAGUUUCCUUUCAGAUAUCAGAUAAGCAGCAUAAAUAGCCACCUAAGAAUCAAAGACAUGACUAAUUCCCAUUCAUUAGAAACAGGCAACAUAAAUAACAACUUGCUCCACUGCUCAUUAAUUACGCUGGGAUGCCUCCAGUUCUGUCACAUGCAUCCAGGUCUGCUUCCAUGCUGUCUCCUUUGACUAAAUCUAUAUUGUCCUUCUGCAGGCCUACACCAAUGAGAAGAAACAGGAAAGGCUGUGGGCAUCCCACUGCCUUUGCUGUGCUGAUUCCUGGGGAAGCAGAAGAAGAAGAGCUCCAGCAGCAGCCUCACAUGGGCCCAGCACUGGGAGCAGAAGCUCAGCAUCACCCACUACAGCCUCCUUUCUACAGCACUGCCAGCUGAUUCAGUCCUUGCCUCAGGUGAUCAAUUGGUGGUUCAGGCUGUGAUUCAACAGUUCCCAUGCAGUACUUUAUCCAAACACUGAACAACCGUGCUGUACCUUCGUAGCAACGUGAGGAGUUCUACACGUUGAGAGAUGACUGCCUCAACUUUCAGCUUUCAGCCCUGACUCUUCUUAAAGGUGAGUUUUUGGUUGGCAGAGAGUGAUUGUGAAAUUUAGAGCCAUAAUUUUUCUUUGGUAUGAUGGAGUUUUGUAGGUUGGUUGUAGCAGUUUUGUAAGUUGGUUUCAAAAUUGCACUUUUACUCUGCUAAUUAGGUGGUAUUGACCACCAACUUGAACUAGGUAGUGUUACAAGUAUGAUGUGUAAGUGUUGUGUCAGAGGACAAGGAAUGUUGUUGCCUGAACCACAGCUGUAAUGCUGUACCUGGCCUUGUUUACAUUGCUGAAGCUCUGUGGAGUGCAGUUCUUCUGUGGAAAAUGGAAAUGAAUGGUAUUUGCCUAUCACAAAAGAGUGCUACAGUAGGUUGUUAGCUCCACUGGAUUGUCUACGUGAAGGUGUACAGAACUGUUCAGAAAUCUCCACUAGCUACUUGGGAUUUGGACUUGCGUUUUUGUAGCUCUGCUAACUAAAUUCCAGUGUAACAAUUGCAAUAGAUUCUUCGUAUGGUUCUUCUUUUAUUUUGCUUGUUAUUGGAAAGGAACUUCUAAUCUAUGCACCAGGCUCAGCAGCAGUGCAGGCAGGAAAGGACCCGAACUUUAGAGCUUCUGUCAGUUUGGACUGGAAAUAAUUGUGCAAAGGAUUGUGAGAUUUUGCUGUCUUCAAAUGUGAAAUAUACUUGAGCAACAGUUUAUCUUUUAGUGUAACUUCAAUUCAAAUCUUAGCUUCAGAUACUAUGAUUUUGACUUUUCCUAAUAAAAAAUCCAGGUGGAAGUGACUAGAAAUAGGAAGCAAAUACCUAAUUUGCAGAAAAAUGCCUUGGCGGUAGUGAAGUGAGAGCGCCUGACAGACUGCCUCAUGGUGUUCAUUCUUACUGAGCUACAGUGAAGGCAGAUGAAGCAUAAAUUACUCAGUAAGCAAAUGCCUUGUUUUCUCUGUAACUCCACCUCUUUGGGGCAUCCUGCCCUGUCCCCACCCCUCGCACUUGUCUGCUUGUCUUAAUGGCAGUAUUCACGCAGCUGGUAAUUUAUGUGUCUGAGAGAGAAGAUUUACACAGAGCCUUCCCUUCAGUUAUUCAGAAAAUGUGAGAUACAACACGUGAUUUGUUAGGUCCCAAACUCUUAAAAGUCACGAACAUCUUAAUGGCUGGGCUCGAGCAAGAGAAGUUUUAUAUGCAAUAACUUGAGCGAGAAGCUGGUUCUGAGGUCCUCACUUUACGCCUAGUUACAAAAGUUUGUCUUCAAAAUAAAUACAAUGCCUAUUGUAACAUAAGCACACAGUAAUUUGGCUUUGGUUGAAGCAGUUCGAUGCGCUGCUCUGGCAGACAGACGGAGCUGAUCCAGUUACGGAGACCUGCUUGAUUCGGUCGGUGUCUUGUGUCAUAAACACGAAUUGUUAAUUUCAUAUUACUCAUAACAGGCGCACUGUGAAUGUUUGCAGCGUUUAUAGGAUAUCAGUUACAAAUGUGAUUAUACCAGCCAUUCCUCAGGACUGACACCAGUUUCAAAUUAGAAGCUGACAGGCCUCACCUGCUCCUGAGUUCACCGACAGGUCACCUUCUUGUCAUUUUGGCUGUCCCCCCCCUCAGAAUGACAUCUGUGUUCAUAAAGGGACAGUGAGGGACUCUAAGUUGUUAGAAUUGUUGAAGAAUAAGAAUAAGGUGUCAUCUACUCCAAUAACGUAGUACUCAACUUUGGCCUUUCAGAUGGCGUGAUGCUUGUAGCACCUGACAAUGUUUCCAGAUACAAGAAUAGCCAGAUCGGAGGGGCAGCAGUUGUUCCCUCUUCUACGCACGGAUGCUAGGCAUUCAGCCCAGUGCUAGCCACACAGUAGAGGCAACCUCAGAGUAUUCAGCAAGGGCUUUCAAAAUACCUUUACUUUUUACAUAAAGGGAUAGCACGUUAGCUUAAAUUAAAUCAUUCAGAGGAUGUUAUUACAUAGUCAGAUUUUAAAGCAACCUGUGAAAGGCAAAAGGUAAAUACUGUUAGACAUACAACUAGAUAAAAUAUAUUUGAAGCCUUUUCAAUUUGUUGGACAUCUGCAUGAAUCUCUGCGUACUGUGGGUAUAGAUGCAAACCGUGAUGUUACGUGGAAUUGUCCUAGCACUUAAAAACACAUAUUUCUUCCUUUCUAAGGAAGAUUUUUCGCAUUUGCUCGAUUGCUGUAACGCAGUUGAGAUAGGGCAGUCCAAUUACUCUGCCCAGACACUUCUCAAAACUCAGAAAAAGGGCAUCCCUCUUCCAACACAGGUUCAUAAUUAGCUUAUUUCUGUCAGUGAACGCACAGAGAUGUCAGAUCCAAACAACCUCAAACUGUUCAGAACAGAGAUUUGGGCUCCUCUGCAUUUCAAGUUUACUGAAUAAGUGCACAAACCAAUACAUGCAUGCCUCAAAUGGAACAGCUGUGCAUCUGUCUCCUUAAUGCAUGGGUUUUACAGGAAGCUAAGCAUGUGCAUACGUAUAAGCCCACUGAAGUUGCCUGCCCCAUUGCUGCUGUAUGUAGAGAGGAAGGUCUGUGGGUGAGCUCCCAGCUGUGGGCUGUGAAAGCUUUUCUCCUGGCACCUCCAGGGGCUGGACAGACUUACACUCACCUUGAGCUCAGUUGUGUGCUGGUGAGAAAAGAGCAGAGAUGUUCGUGAGAGGGUGGGAAAGGAUAAACAAGAUGUUCAAUUGCACUUUGCCAAAUGAAGGACUCAGAGCAGCCAAGGAAAAUCUUUUUUUUCUAUUUUCCUCACUAAAUUAAACCUUUAUUUUUGUCUUAGACACUGUGGCUAGCAGAACUGUGAGGACAUUCACAGUUAUAACAGUUACCAUCAUUCUCUGAAAUCUGUCCUUGAUUUUAUUUUCUGCUUCAGGAAAUAUUAUAGUAUUGUUAUUUUAUCUAUAUUAAAUAAACCUAAGGCCUGACUCUUCAUGGUGUAAACAAGCAUGACUUCAGGAAAGCAGUGCUGAAUCACGCCAUCUGUGUGUCUGAGUCUUAAUAUAAAAAGGAACAUGUUACUAGAGAGUAAACAGAAGUAAACAUUUGUUAUGGAAACUCACGUUAUCAACCCAGACACCCUCCUCCGGCGUUUAGCAGGAAAAAAACCCACCUAUGGUAGAUUUACAGAAGCCACCGCUUUUUUUUUUAAUGAUUUGGAUAUUGAUCAUUUUUAAUCUUCUUCUCAGAACAACCGGGAGAUCUAUUAUAGCUUGAGCCAGCCAUGAAAAGCAGGUCCGUUCUUUAACCUGCCCCAAUUCACUUGGACAUAUUUUAUAUCUCCAGGGAUUCAGCCACAAAGUCCAUUAGAGCAUCAGAUGCAGUGAGGUCAAAUCAAUUGUCCAUACUGCAGACAAGGUAACCAUCAUUUACUGUAAUUCUCCCCCGUCAUGGUAGAGGAGAGGAAAGGUUAAAAGCUGUAUUACCAUGAGGCUGUCUCAUCUAUCUUUCAGUAUAUUGGUAAUACCUAAACAUUGCUUAAGGAACUGAAUGCACAAUCUUAAAUCUGCGUUAGAAUGGAUUUAGAGGUUAGAUUGCCAACUUGCAAAAUUUGCGAAUGAUGAUUUCUUCAAAGAAAAGCAGAAAAAAUGAAAAUUUUAAAACAAAAAGCUUAAAAUAUAUUGUCACGUCUGACACAGCCGAUCUGAAGCUAUACUGAACGUUCAUCUCACAAUGACCCGAAUGACUGCUAUUUAUCCUUCCCUAUACAUACAUAUAUUUACCUAUGAAGUAAUUUGCUGUCAUCUCUUUAAGGUGGAGAUGCUAUGACAGUCCAAAAACAAAAGAGGAAGUAAAUUCAGGAUGUAUAUUUUUGCACUGUAAAUCAAGCCCUUAUGUGUUUGCACUCUACGAUGGGCAAUAAUAAUUGACUGAAGCAAUCACUGCUGUGGGAAAACAAACGUCCUGGCAGUGUCGCAUGUGAAGGUCAAGCCUGAUGACACAGUAAGCACCUGAACUCUCACUGACUCCUGGGGAGGCGGCCGCUGAGCACCUCCCGGAGCUCUCCUGGCAGGGACAGAUUUACGCAGCCGCCGGGCAGGGGGUGAGGAUGCUUUUUCGCUCCCACCUCCUUCCGUUGGGUCUGCAAAGUCAUUUAUUUCCAUUACAUGUUCUCUCUGGCUCCUCUGCUCGGUAUGUCAGCUGCAUGAAACCAGAGAGAAAAGGCACUUCUGUGCUUCCAGGGACUGUGCAUCCCUCCUCCUUCAAACAAUUGUGCUGGCCCCAAUUCACUUCAUGCAAGCUGGUGCAUUGUUUGCAUGCAGGGGAGCUGUGUCCACUGCACACGCGUGUGAAAGCUGUGGCACCAUGGCCCAGAUCUUGUUGGACACUGUUGAAGCAGGAAGCAAUAAACCCAGCUUUAUUCACUUGCUUAUUUGCCUUUUCUAGGUUAAUCUUUUCUCUUUCCCUGGAUUUCUUUAAUCCUGGGAUGUUUUCAUUGAGAAAGUGAUUGAAUGAAGAGGCAUUUAGAUUUUCUGUAUUAUGGAAAUGUUUUCACAGCUGUCAGAACCAGUAAUUCUGUCCUUCUGUUUCAGAAGCUAGGUUCUAAGCAAACGUACGCAUCCGUUGUUUAAAAUAGAGGCAAAGAAAUAAGGAAUAGAAAAUAGUCACUGCAGUACAAGUGUGUAUUUCUGAGGCUGACGUAUAUUCUGACAUACGUUCACGGUAACUGUAUUGGGAGACAAUGGAUGAACGCAGUGGGAGUGUAAGAGCUGAUGAUGUACGUUACAGAUAAUAAAUAUUUUUGUACGGAAGCUUAUUUGUAAAACUUAGAGUUUAACACUCAGCACAAUAAAUUCCACUUUCAGGUAAUGUGGGCAUUCAAUAACCAUAAAAAGGAACCGGUAAAAGUUUUGUGUGCGCUGAAGGAGAGAGAAAUGUGCUUUAGAUUAGGUGUUACAUACCUUUCACUUAGCUGCUUUUCCUCCUCUGUUUCCUCUUUUCAUGAUUUUCUUUAUUAUUACCUACUCUCUGGGCUCCUUUUCCUCAGUCUGUGUUGCCCAUCACCUCUGAAUUCAUCCCUAUGAAUGUUUAUGCACAGGUCUUUCACAACAGUGCAGACUGGCAUUGUGCU